GACGAACCGUGCGAACGUUAUUCGGAAUCACUGGGCUUAAAGCGCGUGUAGGCGGCCCGGCACGUCCGUCGCUGAAAUCCCCCGGCUCAACCGGGGAAGGGGCGCGGAUACGACCGGGCUGGAGGGGGGUAGGGGGAGCCGGAACUUCCGGUGGAGCGGUGAAAUGCGUUGAGAUCGGAAGGAACGCCCGUGGCGAAAGCGAGGCCCUGGACCCUUACUGACGCUGAGACGCGAAAGCGUGGGGAGCGAACAGG
rnacentral:rRNA from 1 species